rnacentral:rRNA from 1 species
GACGAACGCUGGCGGCGUGCCUAAUACAUGCAAGUCGAGCGAAUCUUGAGAUGCUUGCACCUCUUGGUUAGCGGCGGACGGGUGAGUAACACGUGGGCAACCUGCCUGUAAGACUGGGAUAACUUCGGGAAACCGGAGCUAAUACCGGAUAAUCCUUUUUCUCUCAUGAGGAAAAGCUGAAAGUCGGUUUAUGCUGACACUUACAGAUGGGCCCGCGGCGCAUUAGCUAGUUGGUGAGGUAACGGCUCACCAAGGCGACGAUGCGUAGCCGACCUGAGAGGGUGAUCGGCCACACUGGGACUGAGACACGGCCCAGACUCCUACGGGAGGCAGCAGUAGGGAAUCUUCCGCAAUGGACGAAAGUCUGACGGAGCAACGCCGCGUGAGCGAUGAAGGCCUUCGGGUCGUAAAGCUCUGUUGUUAGGGAAGAACAAGUAUCGGAGUAACUGCCGGUACCUUGACGGUACCUAACCAGAAAGCCACGGCUAACGACGUGCCAGCCGCCGCGGUAA